rnacentral:rRNA from 21 species
UCUGGCGGCAUUAGCGCGGUGGUCCCACCUGACCCCAUGCCGAACUCAGAAGUGAAACGCCGUAGCGCCGAUGGUAGUGUGGGGACACCCCAUGUGAGAGUAGGACACCGCCAGAC